GAUGAACGCUGGCGGCGUGCCUAAUACAUGCAAGUCGAGCGAACAGAUAAGGAGCUUGCUCCUUUGACGUUAGCGGCGGACGGGUGAGUAACACGUGGGUAACCUACCUAUAAGACUGGAAUAACUCCGGGAAACCGGGGCUAAUGCCGGAUAACAUUUAGAACCGCAUGGUUCUAAAGUGAAAGAUGGUUUUGCUAUCACUUAUAGAUGGACCCGCGCCGUAUUAGCUAGUUGGUAAGGUAACGGCUUACCAAGGCAACGAUACGUAGCCGACCUGAGAGGGUGAUCGGCCACACUGGAACUGAGACACGGUCCAGACUCCUACGGGAGGCAGCAGUAGGGAAUCUUCCGCAGUGGGCGAAAGCCUGACGGAGCAACGCCGCGUGAGUGAUGAAGGUCUUCGGAUCGUAAAACUCUGUUAUUAGGGAAGAACAAAUGUGUAAGUAACUGUGCACGUCUUGACGGUACCUAAUCAGAAAGCCACGGCUAACUACGU
rnacentral:rRNA from 1 species